UACGGAGGGUGCGAGCGUUGUCCGGAAUCACUGGGCGUAAAGGGCGCGUAGGCGGUUGGGGAAGUCCGUGGUGAAAGCUCGUGGCUCAACUACGAGUCGGCCAUGGAUACUCCUUGACUUGAGCACUGUAGAGGCAGAUGGAAUUCCGGGUGUAGCGGUGGAAUGCGUAGAGAUCCGGAAGAACACCGGUGGCGAAGGCGGUCUGCUGGGCAGUAGCUGACGCUGAGACGCGAAAGCGUGGGGAGCGAACAGG
rnacentral:rRNA from 1 species